rnacentral:rRNA from 1 species
CCCUUAGAUGUUCUGGGCCGCACGCGCGCUACACUGAUGAAUUCAACGAGCACUAACCUGUGCCGAAAGGUUCGGGUAAUCUUGUGAAAUUUCAUCGUGAUGGGGAUUGAUUAUUGCAAUUUUUAAUCAUAAACGAGGAAUGCCUAGUAAGCGUGAGUCAUCAGCUCACGUUGAUUACGUCCCUGCCCUUUGUACACACCGCCCGUCGCUCCUACCGAUUGGAUGUGCUGGUGAAAAGUUCGGAUUAGGAGUGGGAGACGGCAACGUUUCCUACUUCCGAGAAAAUCUUUAAACCCUCCCAUCUAGAGGAAGGAGAAGUCGUAACA